GACAGAGGUGCCAAGCGUUAGGCGGAAUCACUGGGCUUAAAGCGUGUGUAGGCGGAUGUCUAAGUACUUUGUGAAAUCCCACGGCUCAACCGUGGAACUGCUUGGUAUACUGGACGUCUUGAGCCAGCUAGGGGCUACCGGAACAAAUGGUGGAGCGGUGAAAUGCGUAGAUAUCAUUUGGAACGCCAAUGGUGAAAACAGGUAGCUGGGGCUGUGCUGACGCUGAGACACG
rnacentral:rRNA from 1 species